UGUUGCGCCGUCUAGUUUAGCUUUUUUCUGCGACUGACGAAAAUGAUAAAUGGAAGAUUAUAUAUCAAAACUAAGACAAUUCUCAAAACUGGACUUUCUUUCAAAACAGGAGAUGAUAAAUAAUGAAAGACCAACGCCGGAGAUAAAAGAUUUUCUUCAAACUUCGGGACAGAAGAUGACUUGCUCCUUUCAAACGGUCAUUCUCGGCUCGAAACAUACAGUCUGAAUAGGACUGAUCAAGGACGACUUUCAUCCCUGGCAAUACUCUCCAUUGAGACGGGGAGACUUGUAAAACUAAAAGAAGAUGAGGAGGACUUUUACAAAAAAGUGAUGGAGAUUUCUGUCCAGAAGGAUCGGCGCAUGGACUUCAUUUAAGGAGGUGAUAAAUAAUGAAAGACCAACGCCGGAGAUAAAAGAUUUUCUUCAAACUUCGGGACAGAAGAUGACUUGCUCUUUUCAAACGGAGAGACUUGUACAACUAAAAGAAGGUGAGGAGGACUUUUACAAAAAAGUGAUGGAGAUUUCUGUCCAGAAGGAUCGGCGCAUGGACUUCAUUUAAGCUCUGCCAAGAAUGCCGCUACUUCCCUUCUGAUGGACCAAAAGUGCUCCAACACCCUGCCUUUGCUGAGCCAUCUCACAUUGUUGUGCAGCAAAAGAUCAUCAGCAUUUGCAUCAACUUCUCUGAGGAAUUCCCUGAGCAUGUGAUGCCAAUAGGAAAAGGAUGCCCUGAGAUAAUUUAUAAUUUUCAUCAUUGUGUUCAUCACAUCAGCAUGCUCAUCUGACAGGGUGGCGCACAGGACAGAUUGAUGAAUUAUGCCAUGUAAGAGAUGAGCUCAGCAUUGUCCUCUUUCAUUCUUGCCACAGCUCCUUUCUCUCUCCCCAUCAUGGCAGGGGCUCCAUCUGUGGUUAUUGAAACGUGUUUCUGCUCUAUUCCUCGCUUUGUCAACAUCUCCUUAAUGGCCAGGUAGAUCUCCUCUUGUACUGGUGUGAAGGGGAGUAACACCUAACAGGUCUUCACAGAACACUUUAUUGUCUUUGCUGAAGAACCGUUUAGAAGAACCGUACAUAAACUAACAGCUGAGCAUUGUCAGAAACAUCAGUGGACUCAUCUACAGCUAAGCCUACACGCGGUGCCUUAUGAAGGGCUGAUUUAUUAUUUUCACUGCAACCACACAUUGCUGAUCAUCAUAACAUUUUAUUUUUGAGAGCGCAGAGAAUGCUGCUUCACACCGGUAUGUGGACAGAAACAUUGAGAUGAUGCGUCUUGCCAGUCUGGAGAUAUUUGGUAGAUGCCCCACCAGUUUCCAAAAGUCCACGACAUCUGUAAUCCGAAACUGACGCUGAAGUUCAUCUGAGCUCUUUAACUCCACGAACUCCAUUUGAAGCUGCACAAGUCCGAGCUGGUCGCUUAUUUGCUUCAUUUCAUUGACCUCAAUCAGGAAUGGGUUUUUCACAAGUAGAAAAAUAUUGCUAUGGUCCUUGAAGUCGUGGAAUCUUGAUGUGUAGUUUUGCUUGAGCUCAGUUAGCACGUCACAGAAUUGUGAUUGACAGGGCAGGAGAGUGUCUGCAUGCAUCGCCAUCACUUACUGCACGGUGGGGAAGAAACGGUAAUCAGAACCACGGACACUUUGUUCGACAUUAAGUUUGUUCAAGUGCUGCGUAAUGUCACACAGGAACGCAACAGACAGCACCCACUCUUUAUCAUCCAAAAAGGAAAAUCGGGAAGUCUCCCCUUGGCCGACAAUGAAGGAUUUCAGGGGUUCAAGCAGGUCCAUGAAAUGUGCAAGCAUACGUCCUUUAGACCAGUGAUUUUCAACCUUUUUUGAGCUGCGGCACAUUUUUUACACUUACAAAAUUCUGGGGCACACCACCAACCAAAAUGACACUC